CCUACGGGCGGCAGCAGUCGAGAAUCAUUCACAAUGGGGGAAACCCUGAUGGUGCGACGCCGCGUGGGGGAAUGAAGGUCUUCGGAUUGUAAACCCCUGUCAUGUGGGAGCAAAUUAAAAAGAUAGUACCACAAGAGGAAGAGACGGCUAACUCUGUGCCAGCAGCCGCGGUAAUACAGAGGUCUCAAGCGUUGUUCGGAAUCACUGGGCGUAAGGCGUGCGUAGGCUGUUUCGUAAGUCGUGUGUGAAAGGCGCGGGCUCAACCCGCGGACUGCACAUGAUACUGCGAGGCUAGAGUAAUGGCGGGGGAACCGGAAUGCUCGGUGUAGCAGUGAAAUGCGUAGAUAUCGAGAGGAACACUCGUGGCGAAGGCGGGUUCCUGGACAUUAACUGACGCUGAGGCACGAAGGCCAGGGGAGCGAAAGGGAUUAGAUACCCGGGUAGUC
rnacentral:rRNA from 1 species